GGACCCGCACAAGCGGUGGAGUAUGUGGUUUAAUUCGAUGCAACACGAAGAACCUUACCAGGGUUUGAAAUCAUUUCAAAACUCCUUGAAAGAGGAGCCUCCUUCGGGAUGAAAUGACAGGUGGUGCAUGGCUGUCGUCAGCUCGUGUUGUGAAAUGUCGAGUUAAGUCUCGUAACGAGCGCAACCCAUGUCUCUUGUUGCUCACUGAGUGCUUAAGAGAGACUGCCGACCAACAUCGGAGGAAGGUGUGGAUGAUGUCAAGUCAGCAUGCCCCUUACAUCCUGGGCUACACACGUACUACAAUGGUAGGGACAAUGGGUUAAUCCCAAAAAGCUAUCUCA
rnacentral:rRNA from 1 species